UGCAAGUCGGACGGCAGCGCGGGCUUCGGCCUGGCGGCGAGUGGCGAACGGGUGAAGUAAUACAUCGGAACGUGAUCCUGGAGUGGGGGAUAGCCCGGCGAAAGCCGGAUUAAUACCGCAUACGCGUCUGAGGAGGAAAGCGGGGGAUCUUCGGACCUCGCGCUCAAGGGGCGGCCGAUGGCAGAUUAGCUAGUUGGUGGGGUAAAGGCCUACCAAGGCGACGAUCUGUAGCUGGUCUGAGAGGACGACCAGCCACACUGGGACUGAGACACGGCCCAGACUCCUACGGGAGGCAGCAGUGGGGAAUUUUGGACAAUGGGGGCAACCCUGAUCCAGCAAUGCCGCGUGUGUGAAGAAGGCCUUCGGGUUGUAAAGCACUUUUGUCCGGAAAGAAAACUUCGCCGCCAAUACCGGUGGAGGAUGACGGUACCGGAAGAAUAAGCACCGGCUAACUACGUGCCAGCAGCCGCGGUAAUACGUAGGGUGCGAGCGUUAAUCGGAAUUACUGGGCGUAAAGCGUGCGCAGGCGGUUCGCUAAGACCGAUGUGAAAUCCCCGGGCUUAACCUGGGAACUGCAUUGGUGACUGGCGGGCUAGAGUAUGGCAGAGGGGGGUA
rnacentral:rRNA from 1 species